rnacentral:rRNA from 1 species
GACGAACGCUGGCGGCGUGCUUAACACAUGCAAGUCGAACGGAAGGGCCCUGCUUUUGUGGGGUGCACGAGUGGCGAACGGGUGAGUAACACGUGAGUAACCUGCCCUUGACUUUGGGAUAACUUCAGGAAACUGGGGCUAAUACCGGAUAGGAGCUCCUGCUGCAUGGUGGGGGUUGGAAAGUUUCGGCGGUUGGGGAUGGACUCGCGGCUUAUCAGCUUGUUGGUGGGGUAGUGGCUUACCAAGGCUUUGACGGGUAGCCGGCCUGAGAGGGUGACCGGCCACAUUGGGACUGAGAUACGGCCCAGACUCCUACGGGAGGCAGCAGUGGGGAAUAUUGCACAAUGGGCGGAAGCCUGAUGCAGCAACGCCGCGUGCGGGAUGACGGCCUUCGGGUUGUAAACCGCUUUCGCCUGUGACGAAGCGUGAGUGACGGUAAUGGGUAAAGAAGCACCGGCUAACUACGUG